rnacentral:rRNA from 1 species
GGCGAUCAGAUACCGCCCUAGUUCUGACCGUAAACGAUGCCAACUAGCGAUCCGCCGGUGGAUUUUUAGCCCUGGUGGGUAGCUUCCCGGAAACGAAAGUCUUCCGGUUCCGGGGGAAGUAUGGUUGCAAAGCUGAAACUUAAAGGAAUUGACGGAAGGGCACCACCAGGAGUGGAGCCUGCGGCUUAAUUUGACUCAACACGGGGAAACUCACCCGGCCCGGACACCGUAAGGAUUGACAGAUUGAUAGCUCUUUCAUGAUUCGGUGGUUGGUGGUGCAUGGCCGUUCUUAGUUCGUGGAUCGAUUUGUCUGGUUUAUUCCGAUAACGAGCGAGACUCUAGCCUACUAAAUAGCUGCGGGAUUAUCAUUGUCCCGCCGGCUUCUUAGAGGGAUUUUCGGUGUUUAGCCGCACGAGAUUGAGCAAUAACAGGUCUGUGAUGCCCUUAGAUGUCCGGGGCUGCACGCGCGCUACACUGGCGAAAUCAGCGUGCUGUAUCCAUUCUCGAAAGGGAUUGGUAAACCCAUGAAAAUUUGCCGUGCUUGGGAUCGGAAAUUGCAAUUAUUUUCCGUGAACGAGGAAUUCCAAGUAAGUGCGAGUCAUCAACUCGCUCUGAUUACGUCCCUGCCCUUUGUACACACCGCCCGUCGCUGCCCGGGACUGAGCCAUUUCGAGAAGAUCAGAGACUGGUGCCUUGUGGCCUCUUCGGAGGUUCGAGGUGUUGGAAACUGAUUUGAUCGCAGUGGCUUGAACCGGGCAAAAGUCGUAACAAGGUAGCCGUAGGUGAACCUGCGGCUGGAUCAUUAUCGAGCAAACAACACAAACACGCUAGGGCUUCGGCUCUAGUAGGGGUAGGAUUGAUGUGCGGGGCAUUUGAGCUGAUGCCCGUCUGCACGCCCCACCAACAAACGGCGAAGGUUGGUGUCUGCGUGGUCGCUGAGCGGAUGUUGCCUGAAUGCCGUGUCCGUGUCGAGGCUUCCACACUACGCAUACGUCCUGCUAGUUCAGGGUAGCGAAUGCGCAGACUUAAUGAGCUCCGGCCUGGGAGCCGCCAACCAAAACGAUUCUAACGAAUUUCUCUUACGAGAGACGAAUAUCAGUCUUACCGGUGGAU